UCAAGAGAAGAACAAUGCAAGUAUAACUAGAUAGUCUAUUAUAUAUAGGCUUGCCUGACUCCCUCUACGACUCGAGUUUCUUCAGCUAUAGCGCUUUCUCAUCUCGCAGAACAUUCGACGAAAUAAAGCAAACAGCCAUAACAGCGCCGGAGCCGUUUACGUCACCCCUGUCGUGUGCUUGGCUCGCCGUGGUGCUCAUCAGCCUGUUCGUCAUAGUGACUGUCAUUCUAACACUCUGCUAUACCUUCAAGAAAGGUCGCCCGCCCUUGCCGACAAGCGCUCCUGUCCUUCAUGUGACAACGCCUAGCCAGGAAGGUGGCAGCCAGUACAUCACAGUGGCUAACAACAGUGUAGCCAGCAGUGACCGAGAUGGUGGGACAACAUCAUCACAUGUAACAUAGUUAUGCCCUAGUUAAAUCCUAUCACAAAUAGUUAUCAUAUCCAGUUAAUAAAUUCAUUUCACAAAGUGUUCACAAUUCAUUCGCUUCACAAAGUAUAACACCAGAGAAAUUAAAGUUGCAAAUGCAUUGUACACUCAAUUUAUUGCACCAUUUAUAAAAAAAUAUCUAUGUACAUUGCUGCUUUCAAAAGCAGGGCUUGGAAUGGUCGUAUUAAGUUAUGAAAAAUGCUCCAGGCACAGAAU